rnacentral:rRNA from 1 species
UACGUAGGGGGCUAGCGUUGUCCGGAAUCAUUGGGCGUAAAGCGCGUGUAGGCGGUCCGGUAAGUCCGCUGUGAAAGUCGGGGGCUCAACCCUCGAAUGCCGGUGGAUACUGUCGGGCUAGAGUCCGGAAGAGGAGAGUGGAAUUCCUGGUGUAGCGGUGAAAUGCGCAGAUAUCAGGAAGAACACCUAUGGCGAAGGCAGCUCUCUGGGACGGUACUGACGCUGAGACGCGAAAGCGUGGGGAGCGAACAGG